GGGGCAGAGAGAGAAGGAGAUACAGAAUCCAAAGCAGGCUCCAGGCUCUAGGCUCUGAGCUGUCAGCACAGAGCCUGAUGUGGGGCUCAAACUCACGAACUGUGAGAUCAUGACCUGAGCCAAAGUUGGACACUCAACCGACUGAGCCACCCAGACACCCCUAAUUCAAUCAAUAUUUAAAUUAAGAAAGCACAAAGCACAAAUAUUGAAUACAUUUUGAUAAUCUGUAUUUAUAUGAGAAUGUUGAUAAAAUAGGUAAAAUGAAAAAUAUGGAUAUGGCAUUUCUUUUGCUUUCUGUCCUUAUUUGUGAUCCAUUGUCCUUUUAAUGUGUAAUAAAACAAUUUGAUAGGUUCUAGAUAUAGCCACAGAUUGACCUAUCAUCAAGAGGUGAAGUCUGUUUCCACAUUUCUUUAAAUUUGACCUGUGAUUUGCUCUGUCCCAUAGAAUGCAGCAGAAGUGAUAUUUUUCCAGUUCUAACCCUAGGCCUUGAGAAGUCGUGAAGCUUCCAUUCUCAUUCUAGAAAUGAUGACGGAGAGUGAAAAUCCAUGUGGAUGGGGCGCCCAGCUGCCUCUGCCUUCCCAGCCAUCUCAGUCGAGGCCCACACCUGCGAGUGAACCCAGCUGAGAACACAGUAAACACAGCCCAAAUUACCAAGUCACAGAACAGUGAGUCGAAUCAUUGUUCCUGUUUUAAGCUGCUACCUUUCAGUAUGUUUUAUUAAGCAGCAGUAGAUAACAGAUACAAAUAGGAGCAAGAUCAUGAGCUGAGCAUGAAAGAUGGAGGCUGUGUUUGAAGGUUAAAGAGAAGCCCGAAAUGGAGAGGGUUUGAGAUGGUGUAUCUAUGUAUCCUGGGGAAAUAUAGUAGGGCUGCUGGAGAGCAUGAGGACUUCAUCUGAGGGUGCGUGCUUUGUCGCUCAUGUACAUUGUUGCCUGUUUGCUGGGUUAUCUCAUUGCUUUGGGCAGCAGCUAGACUGCCACCACAACACCCCCUGGAUUCUCCUUCAGCUUCUCCAUCCCUUGGGUCAGGGAUGUGUCUCACUCCUUCAUGGAGGGCCUCAGUAUCUCCAGCAGCAAGGUGCCCAGCUUAAGGUUGGAAGUGGUGAGAGACUGAAAUGGCUUCCCAUCUGUCCUUGUGGGUUCUAAUUUGUUUUCUCUCCAUUUUUAUAUUCUUCCUUUUUAACUGCCUGCCCUGUGGACAGUUCUAGCUUUGGACAUGAAGAUAACAGCCUUACCGAAGGAAAGAGCAUGAGUAGGGGAAGAGCAGAGAGAGGGAGACACAGAAUCCGAAGCAGGCUCCGGGCUCUGAUCUGUCAGCACAGAAUCCAGUGCGGGGCUCGAACUUACAAACUUGUGAGAUCAUGACCUGAGCUGAAGUCAAGACACUUAGCCGACUGAACCACCCAGGCGGGCCUGACGUUGGGCUAGAUUUGAAAAUCUUGUGGCUCCUUCCCUCAUAGUUCCACCCUGACCCCAUGGAAUGCUGGAUUAUUCUCUUCACCCUCUUGGUCUGCCAUUGGCAUCCCAGAUUGUCUUCAGUCAGAUCACAUGGGUUAUAAUUAAGGAAAACACUUGGGGGAGAGAAGCAUUAUAUUAAAAAGAAUGGAUAUACUUUCUCAUUUUGAAACAUACUUACGAGCCUCAAGAGGCAGAGCAGAAAUUCCCCAGAAGACAACUGCUGAAGUGAGGAGGAAUGAAGACUGGGCUCUUUCUCUGAGCAGGUGACCUGUCUAGAAAAAUAUAGCUGUGGCUGGUGACAGAGAAAUUUUACUGCCUGUGCUCUCUACUAGGAUUUUUAUGGUUUCAGGUCUCACAAAUAGAGUACCUUUGUGUUGAAUCUAUACCAUGUUAUACUUCCCUUUCAUAACUCUUUGAAAGAAGUUCCUUUGGUGAUGGAGGCAUAGUUUUCUAAUCUUUACAAGCCAAACCUCCCUCCUGCCCCAACCCAGAUGGAAGACAAACUGAUUCCUGCACACGUGGUCCUACUCUGUGUGUGUUUGUGUGUGAUGCACUACCUCUUCUCUCGAGUGAACCAGGCACAUUAAAGAGCACAGCUCCCAUUCUCCAAGGGAUUCUAUCUCUUUGCCAACAUCUGCAGAACAUUUCCGUGAAAAAUAUCCAAUGGUUAUUCAGACUUCUUCAUCUGUAUAGAAACUUCCAGGUGCUCAGCCAGACUGACUGACAGCUGCUUCUUAAACAUCAUCAAAAGUGAGUCACAUUAUGGAAAAUUAGCCUGGGAGAAGAUGUAUAGCAUUCCCAGUAACAAAUUUAUGGACAUCUGUAGCGCUUAUUCAUUUUUGAGAGACACAGAGAGAGUAUGAGCCGGGAAGAGGCAGAGAGAGAGGGAGACACAGAAUCUGAAGCAGUCUCCAGGCUCUGAGCUGUCAACACAGAGCCCAACAUGGGGCUUGAACUCACAAACUGUGAGAUCAUGACCUGAGCCGAAGUCAGAAGUCGGACGCUCAACCUACUGAGCCACCCAGGAUUGUGGGUGAUCAUCCCCCAUGUUUGGAUGCUCAGUCUCAGCCCAUGGUGUUUGACAGAAAAAAGUGAUUUUUUCACAAUGUUGGAAGGUGCCCACAACAGGUACUGGUAUAUUUUUUGUCACUUUAGAGCACCUAUGGACAGUCUUUUGCUUUUCCAUACAACAGUAAGCUUAGGAAUGCUUUGCUUCAUUCUAGGUCAGGAUGUCUGCAGAUAUAGACCCUUUCCUCUGCUACCUUAUUGCCAGUUACAUUAAAUACAGUAAAUAAGAAGAGUUCAUUAAUACUGUACUGUAGUCAACAUCCGUUAGUGAUAGUGAAAGUUAUCGUACACAAUAACUCUCCUCUCUCUUAUUUCCCUCACACCAGCCACAAAGGUUUUCAAAAGUAAGUGCAGGUUAACUUGUUUAUUUUUGUUUAUAUUUUAUAUUUUAUUUAUUAUUUUGUAUCAUAUUAGAGUAUUGUAAUCAUUUUUAUAUGAAUAUUUUUGAGUUGUGAAAUGAUUCAUCUGAGUUUCCAUUAUUUCUUAUGGGGAAAUUCACUUUGAUAUAUAAGUGUUUUGGAUUAUAAGCAUGUUUCUGGAACAAAUUAUGCUUGCAAACCAAGGUUUUACUGUAUUCUAGAUUGGUCUUUUCAUUUUAAAAAUUAGGAUAAUGUUCUUGUAGAAAUUACCUGGUUCAUGGAAGAGUAGAUAGCUGUCAAAAAGAUUAUUUGAAUUUCAGUUUCAUAUUAUUUUUCCCUAUUGUUCUCUCUUGAUUGACUUAAACAUUUUAGAGCACUAACCCAAUAUAGUCUCAUUCAUUCAUUUAUUCAGUGUCCAUUUCUAUUAGAAUAUAAGUCCCUUUUGGGCAGAAUUUUGUUCUUAAUCAUUGUAUCCUCAGUACUUGAACAGUGUCCAGAAAAAAAUGUGUGUUCAGAAAAUGGAUGUUGAAUAAAUUAAGUAAUUGUGAAUAAAACUUGCCAUUCACUCCAAUAAAUUAUUGUAGCGUGACUUCUAUCAUGGCCACCCUAAAGAGUGUUUUCUGGCAGAGUUCACCAUUGAACUUUAUUUCCAAAUGCAAGUAUCACUUUUUAGUUUUUUUUUUCCAACAUAGCUUUUGCAUUAAGUAUUAUUCUUGGAAAAAUGAUUUUCAUAAAAUAAAAUACAUGAGUUUUUAAUUAUCUCUGAGUAACCUGUGUGACUCCCUGUGUAACUACCACCCUAGUUAGGAGAUACUGUGUUUAUGUCACCCUGUAAGUUUUCCAUAUGCUUUUUUCCGUCAAUUCUCCUCUCACCAUAGGUAACCAUUGCUGUGAUUUCUACUAUGCAGGUUAAUUCUGUCUUUUCCUGCACAUUACUUAAAUGGGAUUAUAGAUGAUAUAUACUUUUGUAUCUGUAUUCUUUUGAUAAAAUUAAUAUUUUUGAGAUGCAUCUGUGGCAUGACAUUGUUCAGUUACUUUUGCAUUUUUAUUGGAAUGUAGUAUGUCAUUGCAUGAAUAUACCAAAAUGUAUUACUUAUUCUCCUGUUGAUAGACACCUGGGCUCUUUUGAGUUUUUCCCUAUGGUGAUUAAAGCUGCUAUAUAUGUUCUGAUAAAUAUCUUUUCUGAGUAUAUACAUUUUCUUUCUUUUCCUUUUUCUUUCUUUUUUUUUGAGGGGACAAUGUCUUAAUGAGGAAUUCCUGGGGUAUAAAAUGGUUUUAUAUUUAAAUUUAAAAGAUAUCGUCAAAGUUUUUCAAAAGGUUGUACCAUUUUGUAUCCUCACAAGCAAUAGUGAGGGACUAUUAAUUAUUUUAUGUUUUCUUCAAUAAUCUUUUCCGUUUUAGCCUCUUAAUGGGUGUUUAGUGCGCACACACACACAAGUGAGGGGAGGCAGAGAGAGAGGGGGACAGAGGAUCUGCAGCAGGGUCUCUGCUGAGAGCAGACAGCCUGAUGUGGGGCUUGGACUCAGGAACUGCAAGAUCAUGACCUGGGCAGAAGUUGGAGGCUUAACCGACCGAGUCACCCAGGCGCCCCUGCUGUUUUAUUUUUAUUACGCUGAUGACAAAUGAUGGUGAGCAACUUUUUUGAUGCUUAUUGGCUCUUCGUAUGUCUUCAUUUUUAAGUGUCUGUUGUUCAAGCAGUCCAACUGUUUUUAACAGAUGAGUGAUUUGGUCUCUGUAUUAUCGAUUUGUAGGCGUUCAUAUGUAUACAUAUAUACUUCAUAUGUUGAUUUAUAUAUGUUCUUCAUUGUGGGUUUACUUUGCCUUUUAACAUUUAAUUUUAAUUAACCCUAUAUUGUCAUUUUUAUUUGUCCUAGCUUAGAAUUUUUUUUUAUCUAUUAAAAAAAAACCUUAUCUAUCUCAAGGGCUUGUUAAGAUAUUCUAAGUUGUCUGCUAGAUGCUCUAUAUGUUUAACUUUUGCAUUUAGGUCUAUAAAUUUACUUUAAGUAGAUUUUUGCAGAUGAUGUGAGAUAGGGGCUAAAGUAAAUCUCUCCAUAUAUAGAUUUAUAAUGUUUACAGCAUGAUUUGUUGGAAACACCAUCAUUUCUCCACUGGGUUAUAAUUACACCUUCUUCAAAAAUCAAUUGGCCAUGUAUGUGUGGGUUGAUUUUCAUGCUUUCCAUUUGGAUCCAUUGAUUGAAAUGUUUACCCUUGAGUGAAUAAUAUAGUCAUGAUAGAUCAGUUUUAUGGUAUCCUUUAAAAUCAGCUAUUGUAAGCCUUCCAGUUUUAUUUUUCCUUUUCAAAAUUAUUUUGCUCUUUUAAAUCCUUUGCAUUUUCCUAUAGAAUAGAGAAUUAGCUUGUCAAUAUCUAUAAAAGAAAACCGUUGAAUAGGAUUGCAUUGAAUCUAUGUAAAAUUUUGGAGAGCAUUUAUACUUUAACAAUGAGUCUUAUUUGUAAAUAUAGACACAUUAGGAACAUUUUGUUUAGUUUAUAAAUAUUUGGAGAUUUUGGAGAUGUCUUAUUGUUAUGUAUAUUAUAUUUCAUCUAUUUUCCAAGAAACAUGAUCUGUGUGAUUAUAUUCCUUGACACUUUUUGAUAAUGUUCUGAGGCUUUGCAUAUGGUCUAUUUUGUUUUAUGUUCCUUGUGUAUUUAGAGUGAAUUGAAUGUGAGCCCUGCAAGUUUUAUUUAAGAAUCUAAGAAUGAAGAUAAAGUAAAAUUGUUAAUACAGUUGUUCAAAUUUUCUAAAGCCAAAAUUUUUUUAAAAAGCAUAUUUAUUUAUUUUGAGGGAGAGAGAGAGAGAGAGAGAGAGUGAGAGAGAGAGAACAUACCCAAAUGGGAGCAUUGUACAGAGGGAGAGUGAGAGAAUCCCAAGCAGUCUCAGCACUGUCAGCACAGAGCCCAGCAUAGGGCUCAAACUCAGAAAUGAUGUGAUCAUGACCUGAGCUGAAAUCAAGAGUCAGACACUUAUCUGACUGAGCCACCCAGGUGCCCCUAAAGCCAAACUUUCUUAAACUUUUUACUUUCUACUUACUAGGAGUGGAGUGUUAAAUUAAAUCUCUAAAUAUGAUUGGCAUAUGAUAAUGACUUUUUGGAUUUAUCCCUUUAGUGCUAACAAAUUUGGCUUCAUGCAUUCAGAAACUCAAGCUCUAUUAUUAGGUGUUUCAGUAUGAAUAAUUUUUGUUGACCUGUCUACAAGGUAAGUGACCCAUUCCUUUGUAAUUUCAAAUCUAUUAUUAAUCACAUGCAAUGAAUUUUUAGUGUCACAUAUUACAUUAUCUAAUUCCUAGUACUUACAUUGGUUAUUUAAAUAAUUUUCGUAUCUCUCCUGCAAUUUCCCAUUGCUUUAACAACUAAACCUAUAUGUUUCUUCAAAUUCUUUAACAUUAUGUUAAACACUAUGCUCACAUUAGUUAAAAUAGCUAUUUUAAAGUCCUUUAAUUGAGGUCAUUUGUGGGGGCUAAUUUCUAUUUGAUGAUUAUUGUUAGUAUGGGUCAUAUUUUUCUGUCUUUUUGGAAGUCUAGUAACAGUUGAAUCUAUACUCAUUAAGUUGAAGAAUCCAAAAAUCCAAAAUCUUCCUCUAAAUAGAGUGCUAGGCUUUAUUUUAGCAGAUUCUUAUAUUAAUGAUGGUCUGCAUUCUUUCAUGGAGGCUUGGUUUGAGGCUUUAUUGGGACAGAUCUAUUUUGGUAUUGCCCUUGUUCCUAGAAUAUUCCUUCCGGGGUUUCAAUGGAAAGUUCAAAAUGGUGACCAUACCCAUCCCAGUUGGCAGGACUUGAACUCCAAAUGUAGUUUUCCAACCAUUGGGCAACUGCUGAAAUCUCUAAUCACCUUUUUAAGGUUAUCCACUCUUGUUUUAUCCUAGCUUAUAGGGAACCUUCCCUUCACAGGCAUAGUUCAGAAACUUGGAAUUCCUUUCUUUCUUCUUUUCUCCCCUAGAUUUUUAUCUGUUCUGGAUGUUCCGAAAUUUGCCUGUGAUACCUCCGCCCAAUUAGAUGACCAUUUUCUACAAGAUCUCUAUUCUUUGGGUGCCAGGGGGACUGAGGAGUACACUUCCAAUAAAAACCUGGUAAAUGGGAUCUUAUCACUGUUUUUCCUUUCUUUCACUGUUUUUGUCUGCUUCACUUUCAGCCUGCUUUUGAUUGCUCACCAGUACCUCUGGACUAUGUGUGCAUUCAUAUUCCAUAGUCUAGAAUUUUUAACAACACGAGGGUUAGGGUGAUACAAACUACAUUGCCAUUGUUGGAGUCUGGAAGUCAGUAUGUAGAAUGUGUUUUCAAACUAUUAUGUUUUUUUGCUUUCUGCAGUCCAGAAAGCCCUUUGGAUCUUUUUUUUUUUUUUUUUUUUUUAAGAUUCCCAGAAGCUCUCUUUCAUCCACCAUUCUUCUAAUUGCUGUUCCUCAGGCUUCCAUCUUUCGCCUAUAUUCUGCAUGUUCUUUCAUGGCUUUUAUAUUGUGCAAAAGCAUUUAUUACACCCAAAUAUAUUUUCCUUUGUUUUAUUCUUUACCUUGAUAUCAGUUAUUGCAACCAUUUACUGUACAUCUCUAUUAGAUUUGUCCCUCAAAUUCUUUACUGACUUGGCCCAAAUUCAGUGUCAGAUGAACAGUGGCCACUAUCACAUUCUUUGGAUUGGAGCCUGCCUCAAAAUCUCUGAACUCAAAGAGACAGAUACGGGUUUAGGAGGUGUGUGUGGGUUUUUUUCUGUCACAGUGGCAUUUUAGUGUAGGUCUCACAUUGUUGAUGCCAUUUUAAUUUUUCCCUUGGAGCAUGAGAUUCCAGAAUCUUGAAGCCAGAGCAGGUCACAAACUCAAGGAAAACAAGCUUCACUCAGUUUUAUGACCUGAAAUUCCCACAGCAAUACAUGAUUAGUCUCUCAGCAGAUAUCCCAGAGUCUUAUUUCUGUAAUACUCCUAAUAAGACACCUGUCACGUUUCAUUCAUAUCUGUAAUCAUUUCCUGUGUGAGGUACUUAAUAGGUAUUUGUUGACUAAAUUAAUUUAUUUAACAAACAUUUACUGAGCAUCUACAUUGCAUAGGUAUUUGGAAUAAAGCAAUCAGUGGGGGAGACAAAAAUCUCUAGUCUGUGGUAUAAAUGACGUUUAUAUAUAUAUAUAUAUAUAUAUAUAUAUAUAUAUAUAUAUAUAUAUAUGCCUACAUUUAUGACUAAACCACAGCUUAUUGUUCUGCUCCUACUUUCUUAAUCAUACUGGCCUGAGAGAUUCUGUGUCUGAUCAUAGCUUUCUCUGAAUCACUCAUCUUCCAAAUCUCAUAUCCAUUAUAAGCCUUUUAUGCCUAAACAUUGCUUAUUAUAAGCACUUUAUGACUAAACAUUCCUUAAAGAGUCAUGUCAUUUCUACCAAAACAUUCCACAAUUAUCGUUGAGUAUGUUAAGUCAGAUGCAUUUGAUAUUGCCAAAUACUACAUAAAUGACAUACCUUUACAAUUGCAUUUCCUAUAACUGUCAUUCAGAACAUUCUCUUUCUAAAGAUUUUUAUGAUCUGUAGAAUGUGGUUUGAAAAUCAAAGGAGUAUAAAGCAUUUUAAAAUAUUCCAGUCCUCCUUGAACAUGCAUAAUAGCCUUUGAAAAUAUACAUUUCUUGAAAUAGUGUCAUUUGCUAUGAGAUUUUUUUGUGCUAAUACAACUAAAAGCAACUGAAUUUUCAUAUAUUUAUUUUUUAAAUUAAAAACAAUUUUUUUUUUGAGAGAGAGUGAGCAAGUUGGGGAGGGGAGGAGAGAGAGGGAGAGAGAGAGAAUCCCAAGCAGUCUCCAUGCUGUCAGCACAGAGCCCGAUGUGGGGCUUAAUCCCACCAACUGUGAGAUCAUGACCUGAGCAGAAAUCGAGUUGGACACUUAAUUCACUGAGUCACCCAGGUGCCCCUUCAUAUAUUUUAAAAUAGAUCCUAUGUAGUUGACUACAAAGAAGUAACAUGUUACUGAAAGGAUAUAUGAAUAUAGUCACUCUUUUAUCAGAACGUGGCUUAUACUUUAAUAAGUUUAACAGAACAAUUUUUUAUUUUCUUACACCAAGAACCUUUGCUAUCUAGCUUGCCAUCAUUUUUAAAUGGAGAAAAAUCAGUAGAAUUUUUUUAAAGUAAAGUAAGAAAGAUAUAAUAAUAACUAACAUUAAUCAAGCUCCUCUAGUACACUGAGAACAUUUCAUGUUUUUCUCAUUUUGCUGGUGGUUUAGAAAAUGGGCUUUUAAAGAAAAAAAAUGUGAUCCAGAUCUUGGCUUUGCUGCUUGCUAGCUGUGUGACUUUGGACAAGUUACUUAAUCCCACUAGUUCUAAGGUCUUUUCUUGUAAAGUAGGGCUAAAAUGACUUCAAAGGAUUGUUUUGCUAAUUGUAUAGAACACCUACAAGUCACAGUGCUAUACACAUAGAUGGCACUCAAUAAUUUAGCUAAAAAUUAUUUUUAUUACAAACAACAUUGAAGGUAGGGUAUUAGACUCUCUUACAGCUGAGGAGAGUCAUUCUUUUACCAUUUAACCUGAAGAGUAGAAAUAUUUGUAUAGGAAUGGGGAACCAUUUUAUUUAUUUAAAACAUUUUUUUAAUGUUUAUUUUUGAGAGAGAGAGACAGAGCGUGAGCUGGGGAGGGACAGAGAGAGAGACACACAGAAUCUGAAGCAGGCUCCAGGCUCCGUGUUGUCAGUACAGAGCCUGACGCGGGGCUUGAACUCAUAAACCAUGAGAUCAUGGCCUGAGCCAAAGUUGGAUGCUCAAUGGACUGAGCCACCCAGGUGCUCCUGAAUGGGAAAUCAUUUUAGAUUUAACUACUCAGAUUUUAUUUGGCAAAUAUUUGGUGACCAAUGAGUUCAAACCUGUUCUGACACUAAAUCACUCAUAGAGUCUCAAAAAUAAGUUUACCAUAUUUGCCACUGAUGAAUUGUGGUAUAUGAAUUGUGUGUAUACAGAGACAUGUACAUACACGCACACCCAUGCACACUCACACAUUUUUACCUUUGGGCUGCCAAAUGCACUUAACCACUUAGUUUCCUUCAUUGUAGUUAUAAAUAAACUGUUUACCCACAUCAAUUUUUGAAGACUUCAUUUUUUAGAGUAGUUUUACGUUUAUAGAAAAAUUGAAAAGGACGUACAGGUGUACCCUUUCCCAUACAUGCAUAACCUUUACCAUUAUCAAUAUCUCCCACUGAAAUGGUACAUUUGUUACAACUGAUUAACCUACAUUGUAACAUCAUAAUUAUCCAAAGUCCAUAGUUUACCUUAGGGUUCAUUUUGGUGUUGCAUAUUCUAGGAGCUUGGAAAAAUGUUUGUUGACAUGUAUCUAUUAUCAUAGUAUCAUACUGAUAAAAAUCCUCUGUGCUUCACCCCCACAUCAUAUUGAAAUUGUAAUGUGAAAUUUACUUAGUUAUCAAUCUAUUAAAUUAAUUAGUAAUUAGGAAUUAGUAAUGAAACUAUAGGCUGAUAACUUCAGAAAUGAUGUUUUUCAUCCUUUUAAUCUUAAAAUAAAAUUGAUUUGCUUUCCGAAUACAUUGUAUGUCUUCUUUCUGAUAUACUGAAUAUAAAUGACAUCUUCCCCCCAAAGGCUUUGCUGGUAAUGUAGAGUUUUUUUGGUUUUAAUCUAUAUCAAAAGAAAGAGGUACAGUACGCUACUCUUCAUAACCAGUUUUUGUGUUUUUUUUUUAACAGAAAGGAUAGCUAAUAAUCCUCAUCCAUCCUUUUUGUCUCAACAAUUCAUUAUAAUGGCUUUUAUUUGGUUCACUAGUAGAGGUUCCACCAGGCCCCAUGUAUACAUUUUUAAAUUGCAGUUUGAAUCCUUCACACUAAAUCAUUUUGAUAGCAUAUUUUUUUUCCCUUUGGAGGUUAAAAAAACACAACUCUUGACUUAGUUUGAAGCAAAUAAUCCUUUUAAUGAGAAGAUGAACUCAGCCACAGCAUUUCUUUGAUUUUUUUUUUUGAGUACAAGCGUGUUAAUUAGAAAUGAGUCAAUGGUAGCAGGAAGAGUUGAUACCCAAUUUAAUUACAUUUCCUUGAAUUAAUAGAAUUAGGUAGCUGGCACACUGUAUUCUUCCUGUAAUGCAUUAACAACAUUUUUUUAUUAGUAGUAAGAAUUUAUAGUAGUUCAAGUAAUAAUUUAUCUUGCAUUAAAUACAUCUUCUCAGAUUUAGUUGAAGCUAAGUAUUCUUUCAGAAUUUGUAUGAUAUGUUUAAAACUUUUUCGGAAAAUGCAAUAUUCUUGUUAAAACGAUUAGGAAUUUAAGACAAAAGACAUGGAUUAAUAAGUAGAGCAGUAUUUUACUUUUGUACUAGUUAAAAAAAUCUUGAAACAUUUUGAAAUAUUAAAAUGACUGAUUUAAGAGCUCUAUAAAAACAGCUAAAUUAGGCGCAAAUAAAAUUAUGCCCUUAACAGGUCAAAACACUAUAUAUAAUCUGAGUUGCCUUGAGAUUGCAUUCGAGGAGGUAAACUUAAGGAUAAAUAUCAUCUAUGAAAUCUUUUAAUGCUUAAAAUCUUAUCAGGAUAUCUAGUUCAGUUUUCAUAAUUUGAUUUUGUCAAUUUUUAUAAGUCCUCUAUUUACAAUUUAGGAGAAAAAUUAUGAGAAAAUUUACAUUUAUUUCUUCUUCAGAAUAGCAGUUUUCACUGUACAUUUGAAUUACCUUUCUAAUAAAAAAAAAUUCUCUCUUAAACCUUUUUGGUCCCAAAGUAUUGCUAUGUUUUUCUCCUACCAAAAAUAGUUCUCCAAAAUUAAGGAGAGCUGGAGGAGGAUUAAAUCUCCUCUACAAUGUUAGCCAACAUUCUUGGUAGGAUUUGGUUAAACAUUAGUGAUUAAAAAGAUACAUUGUAAGGGGUGAAUGGGUGAACAGUGAAUAAUUUCAAAUCUAAAUGAUUUAGAGAAUCCAAGAUCAUCACAUUAAUCUUGGAUUAACAUACUAAUGUGUGUUAUGACACUCAAGAUAUAAUAGUUCCUAGAAAUUAGUAGAAAAAAUACACUUAUUUAUUAAAUAUAUUUUCUUGCCUAGUAUAAUGUGAA